GAUGAACGCUGGCGGCGUGCCUAAUACAUGCAAGUCGAGCGAACGGACGAGAAGCUUGCUUCUCUGAUGUUAGCGGCGGACGGGUGAGUAACACGUGGAUAACCUACCUAUAAGACUGGGAUAACUUCGGGAAACCGUAGCUAAUACCGGAUAAUAUUUUGAACCGCAUGGUUCAAAAGUGAAAGACGGUCUUGCUGUCACUUAUAGAUGGAUCCGGGCUGCAUUAGCUAGUUGGUAAGGUAACGGCUUACCAAGGCAACGAUGCAUAGCCGACCUGAGAGGGUGAUCGGCCACACUGGAACUGAGACACGGUCCAGACUCCUACGGGAGGCAGCAGUAGGGAAUCUUCCGCAAUGGGCGAAAGCCUGACGGAGCAACGCCGCGUGAGUGAUGAAGGUCUUCGGAUCGUAAAACUCUGUUAUUAGGGAAGAACAUAUGUGUAAGUAACUGUGCACAUCUUGACGGUACCUAAUCAGAAAGCCACGGCCAACUACGUG
rnacentral:rRNA from 1 species